CAGGAUAGCACUGAUAGAGUAUCCACAGAGAUGAAAUAGAAAGGAAGGCACAGCUUGCUUGAUAGCUGUGACUUUCAGCAACGGAGGAGCGGCUGAGCCUCAGAGUUCUGAAAGAGGGAUGUUGCUGAUACUAGGGGUCAGUCUCAAUGUGGCCUGGGCAGAGACCAGGACUCCACGCAAACAGGAUGUGUGAAGGCUUGUUCGGCACAAGUGGCGGAGACCUAACUCAAACCAACUUAAAGUGACUCAAAAGUAACCGUUUUUGACUCUUAUGGCUGGGAAUUUCAAUGGGCCUACAAGUUCUUUGGGCUGCUGGAGUAGUAAGGAGGAAACGGGCUCUCAGCUUCACUUCUGUCCAUUUCUCGUGUGCUGCUGAGACUAGGAAGCUAAGCACAUCUCCCAGACUCAUCUAGGGUCCUCACCUGCCAAGUCUCCUGAGUCUGGGGGAAACUGCGGAGCGGGGCCGGCCUGAGGCGACCCAGCGGAAGACUGCCAAAAAUCAAGCAGAGCUCGCCUUCGCCAUUGAGAUUCCUUGUUCUGUCACCGCCUUGCCAUUUUCCCAAACCGGUGGCAACAAAAGGCCAACGCGUUUGGGUUUCCCGGUCAGGGAACCAAAUGUUACAGAACCUGGUCUGGAUCACCCGGCGGAAGAACCAAGCGGCGCUCGGGGAUCUUGGAAGGCAGGAGGUUUAUUUCACACCAACCCGCUCAGAGGAGAUCACUCUCCAGAGGUCUGAGGCCUGAGCACAAGCACGUGGGACAAUUUCUAGUCUGUUACUUCCGCAUUCCGCAUUAGUAGUAAUUUGGUACCUGCGGCAAGUGGGGUGGGAAGACGAAUGGGGGCGGGGGGA